UGAGUACGAAAUGCUACGGCAUUGAAGCAGUCUAUGUCAUACUUCCUAGAAAAGCUUGCACUGUCAUAAACAAAUAAUGCCUGUACCAUAACCGACACAGGUGGGUAGGUAGAGUAUACUAAGGGGCGCGAGAUAACUCUCUCUAAGGAACUCGGCAAAAUGACUCCGUAACUUCGGGAGAAGGAGUGCCUUAUUUAUAAGGUUGCAAUAACAAGAUCCAAGCAACUGUUUAUCAAAAACACAGGUCUCCGCUAAGUCGUAAGACGAUGUAUGGGGGCUGACGCCUGCCCAGUGCCAGAAGGUUAAAGAAGUUGGUUAGCAUUCGCGAAGCUGAUAACUGAAGCCCUAGUGAACGGCGGCCGUAACUAUAACGGUCCUAAGGUAGCGAAAUUCCUUGUCGGGUAAGUUCCGACCCGCACGAAAGGCGUAAUGAUUUGGAUACUGUCUCGGAGAGGGGCUCGGUGAAAUAGACUUGUCUGUGAAGAUGCGGACUACCUGCACCUGGACAGAAAGACCCUAUGAAGCUUUACUGUAACUUGAAAUUGAAAUUGGACUUUACUUGCGCAGUAUAGGUGGGAGGCAUUGAAGAUAUUCUUGCGGGAAUAUUGGAGCCAUCAGUGAGAUACCACUCUUGUAAUGUUAGAUUUCUAACUUUGUAUCAUUAUCUGGUCAAAGAACAGUUUCAGGCGGGCAGUUUGACUGGGGCGGUCGCCUCCCAAAUGGUAACGGAGGCGCACUAAGGUUUCCUCUGAACGGGUAGAAAUCGUAUCUAGAGUGUAAAGGCAUAAGGAAGCUUGACUGUGAGACCUACAAGUCAGCAGGGACGAAAGUCGGUCUUAGUGAUCUGACGGUGCUGAGUGGAAAGGCCGUCACUCAACGGAUAAAAGUUACUCUAAGGAUAACAGGCUGAUCUCCCCCAAGAGUUCACAUCGACGGGGAGGUUUGGCACCUCGAUGUCGGCUCAUCGCAUCCUGGGGCGGUAGUACGUCCCAAGGGUUGGGCUGUUCGCCCAUGAAAGCGGUACGCGAGCUGGGUUCAGAACGUCGUGAGACAGUUCGGUCCAUAUCCGGUGUAGGCGUUAGAAUAUUGAGAGGAGCCUUCUUUAGUACGAGAGGACCGAGAAGGACAUACCUCUGGUGUACCAGUUAUUGUGCCAACGGUAAACGCUGGGUAGCUAUGUAUGGAGAGGAUAACCGCUGAAAGCAUCUAAGUGGGAAGCCCACCUCAAGAUAAG
rnacentral:rRNA from 1 species